UUCAAUUUUUACUUUAAAUGUUUAAUUUUACAAAUGGAUAAUUUUUAUAAUAAAUUAAAUUAAAUAAUUUAUUUUUAUUAUAUUUUCAAUUGACAUAUGUUUGUAAGAUUAUGAUGUAUUUAUAAUUAAAUAAUGAAUAUUUAUAAUAUAUAUAUUCGAUUUUCGCGCGUAAAAUUAAAAUGAAUAAAAAUAAAUUGAAGUAAACCACAUCGCUUCAACUAAUCAAAAAGGCCCAGUAACGAAACGAGUCAGUGCGCAUCAUAAUGCGCAUGGCAGUAGUUCAUAGUUGAAAAUCGUGGUAACGGCUGGUCACGUUUUGUUCUGAAGUGCGAAAUACUUAAAAUUCUUACCGAUAGGAUAUGAUAUUAUAAUUAUUAUUUAUAUUUAACAAUAAGUUUUAAUAAGUUUUGUAUAAUAUGCAUUUGUUUAAUCAUUAUUAUAGCAGAAUUGAAGAUUUUUGAUGAAGAUGACGAAGGAUAAAGAUCAAUUAUCAUUUCAUUGGAACUUCGAAGACAAGAUGGCUUGAAAAAUAUGAUAUAAAAGGAAAAGAAUGAGGAAUAGAAAGAGGAUGUUAGAGCACGGAUGAGUCGAAGAAGAGUCUGACCACAUAUAGAAGAAAAGAUAUUGGCUAUAUGCGUGAAUACAGUGUGUCUUGUUUGAGACAAGGCAAACAAUCAACGAUGACAAACAAUCAUAAAGGGAAUAAGAAUUCAAUUUUCUUCAGACUUCAGCCAGAAUUGAAGAUUUUUGAUGAAGAUGACGAAGGAUAAAGAUCAAUUAUCAUUUCAUUGGAACUUCGAAGACAAGAUGGCUUGAAAAAUUUCUCAUCGAGUAAAUCCCAUGAACCAUAAUGUCAUUGAUGGCAGAUUCUACGCAUCUAAUGGUGAGUCGCAUGUAUUUUUGUUAUUCCGAUCAUUCAAUCAUGUAGGAUGAGAGAUCCAAAUCGAUAUGAAUGUUAUAUAUGUAGAAUUUUGCACAAAUACAGUGAUCAUGGGUAUUUAUUAUACCCAUGAGUAGUAACAGUUUCUUUUUAUUAUUAGCUCAGGUUAGGUCUUUUUAUGUAUUUUCGAAUAUUAAUAAUUUUUCAAAUUGUUUGAUAUUAAAUUAUUGUUAUCUUUAAUUAAACAUUAAGAUUAUUAAGAAUAAUCUGAAUUAAAUGUCAAAUAUUUAAAUAAUAUGCAUUUAUAUUAUAAAUUAGACGAUUUAGAUAUAUAUUAUAAAUGCAACGAUAUUUUG